AUUGUUUCAAGAGUCACAGCCAGAAAGGUAACGAACAGGAAAGGUGACNAAAUAUGUCACAAAACAGUGAUACAACCGAGGCAGCUAUCGCGGACCGGUCGCAAUCGAACUCGGUCCGCGAUGGACAACCAUCUACAGACAGAUCACUGGAAGCGGGACAAAGAUUAGGUUACCGCAAGAAUAAAACACGUUUCAAUGGAGGACUAAGAAAAAAAAUUCGGUU